AUGGUGGGGGGUGGGGGAGUGGCGGUGGUGGUGGGGCGACAGGACAGGACAAGGGCGCCUGUUGUUCCAACGGAUAUCUCGCAUCCGGUGCUCAGCCAUUGGCUGGCGGCGUUCAGACAUUGACAGGCAGCCGAAUCCUGGUGGCCACUUGGGGCAGGGCAAAGUUGACCCAGCGUCUGCGUCCCUUGAACGCGUCACCCUAUACGUAACUUAACGCUACAUUGUUUUACUCGACUAUUCUGUCUUUAUCUCCAACCUGCUGAUGACGCUACGUGGCACUCAAGCCUCAGUGGCCACUUCCCUCUGUAAACGUCCUGUUUGAAGCUGCACUGGAAAGAGAGCCAUAACUGCAAAACCGACUCCUGCAGAGCCCAGAGGAAGGCCCCUGUGCACAGAAAAAAAUAAAAAAGUGAUCAAAUUGAAAUGAAGCCGUAGACCCCUGCUGCUGUGGGAGAUGAACUGCGUCUGGAUUGUCAAACAGAGGACGCAUCUCACUGUGUAGCACGUCAUCUGUCACUGAGUCACGCGCUGUUGCUGCAUAGCCUGGGAUGAUCCUUUGGGUGAGUGUGAAUUCACAGCUGUCAGCUAUUCCCUCUCAUGCUGUGACCAUUUUUGGCAAAAUUUAAAAUCCCUAAACAUGACAGCUGAAUGUGGUGGAAUUUACACGACAGAUAGGUGGGGAAUGAUGCAAUGGUUGUAAUCCUGUUAAGUAGUAGGAAGGUGCUAUGUGAGUUAUCGGUGUAGCCUUAAAUCUUUGUCAUAGUGGACUACAGGUAGGACGAGUGAAUAAAGCAGCACUUGUGAACGAUUCACUCAGGUGUGUGUAUUUGUGAACACUUUUGUUAAUGUGCUGUCGCCAAUUGGAAAGCAGCAAUUAUGGAGCUCUCUGCUCCUCCGUGGCCGUUGACUUGUUUCAAAAAAGGGGUCAGGCAUCUUGCAAAAGGCCCCUUUCUGGUACAGACACAGCAAUGUCCAAAAAGGCUUGGCUGCGCUGCACAAAGCCUUGACGUAAACCACAUGAAACACCUAUGAGGUGAACUAGAGCAGAGAUUGUGAGCCAAGCCAUAAAUCAGUGGUGUGAAGUCAGGGCCUUCUAUGCCUUCUCUGGUGGCCCAAACACUAUCUAAAGCACUAAUGCACAUUUACAAUUUAAGCAAAUUAUUAAAUAAUUUGUAGGCGUGUAACGAUUCGUUUCAGCAAUGAUCCGAUUCCAGGACAAUAUUGGUUCAUUGAGAAUGAUACAAUCCCAAAUGAUUCAGAGGCUGGAAAUCAAUUCAGUAACUUUUUAGCCAAAAAUUAAUCCAGUGUGACUGAGAAAGAAAUACUUGCAUACUGGACAGUGCAGGUGGAAUUUUUUUUUAGAUUUAUGCUGUUUCUUGGAUUAAAAAUUAAUCAUGUUCAUUAAAUAUAAAGAUUUUCUUGAUGUAUUUUAUGUCUUAUUG